GGGCGAAUAGCUCAGUUGGUAGAGCAUCUGCCUUACAAGCAGGGGGUCACAGGUUCGAGUCCUGUUUCGCCCACCA
rnacentral:tRNA from 1 species